UAGAGUUUGAUCCUGGCUCAGGAUGAACGCUAGCUACAGGCUUAACACAUGCAAGUCGAGGGGAAACGACAUCGAAAGCUUGCUUUUGAUGGGCGUCGACCGGCGCACGGGUGAGUAACGCGUAUCCAACCUGCCCACCACUUGGGGAUAACCUUGCGAAAGUAAGACUAAUACCCAAUGAUAUCUCUAGAAGACAUCUGAAAGAGAUUAAAGAUUUAUCGGUGAUGGAUGGGGAUGCGUCUGAUUAGCUUGUUGGCGGGGUAACGGCCCACCAAGGCAACGAUCAGUAGGGGUUCUGAGAGGAAGGUCCCCCACAUUGGAACUGAGACACGGUCCAAACUCCUACGGGAGGCAGCAGUGAGGAAUAUUGGUCAAUAGACGAGAGUCUGAACCAGCCAAGUAGCGUGCAGGAUGACGGCCCUAUGGGUUGUAAACUUCUUUUAUAAGGGAAUAAACCCUCCCACGUGUGGGAGCUUGUAUGUACCUUAUGAAUAAGCAUCGGCUAACUCCGUGCCAGCAGCCGCGGUAAUACGGAGGAUGCGAGCGUUAUCCGGAUUUAUUGGGUUUAAAGGGAGCGCAGACGGGUCGUUAAGUCAGCUGUGAAAGUUUGGGGCUCAACCUUAAAAUUGCAGUUGAUACUGGCGUCCUUGAGUGCGGUUGAGGUGUGCGGAAUUCGUGGUGUAGCGGUGAAAUGCUUAGAUAUCACGAAGAACUCCGAUUGCGAAGGCAGCACACUAAUCCGUAACUGACGUUCAUGCUCGAAAGUGUGGGUAUCAAACAGGAUUAGAUACCCUGGUAGUCCACACGGUAAACGAUGGAUACUCGCUGUUGGCGAUAUACUGUCAGCGGCUUAGCGAAAGCGUUAAGUAUCCCACCUGGGGAGUACGCCGGCAACGGUGAAACUCAAA
rnacentral:rRNA from 1 species